rnacentral:rRNA from 1 species
UACAGAGGUGGCAAGCGUUGUUCGGAAUUACUGGGCGUAAAGGGCGCGUAGGCGGUCUUGAAAGUCAGGCGUGAAAGCCCCGGGCUUAACCUGGGAAUUGCGCUUGAUACUCUGAGACUGGAGUACGGGAGAGGAGAGUGGAAUUCCCAGUGUAGAGGUGAAAUUCGUAGAUAUUGGGAAGAACACCAGUGGCGAAGGCGGCUCUCUGGACCGUAACUGACGCUGAGGCGCGAAAGCGUGGGGAGCAAACAGG